GCGCCUGGUUUAGUGGUAAAACCAUCGUUGCCAUCGAUGGGCCCCCGCGUUCGAUUCGCGGCUGGCGCA
rnacentral:tRNA from 1 species